rnacentral:rRNA from 1 species
AUGGCGAGGCGCCUGGGAGUCGUGCUGGUUGUGGCGGCGGUCGUUCUUCUCCUUGUCACCGCCACCGCCGCCCGGUCCGACAAGCUGAAGGCGCCCAAGGAAGACAAGCCGAAGGGGCCUGCUGAGAGGCCGCCCAAGGCCCAGGGGCCCAAGCUGAAGGAGCCCAAGGAAGACAAGCCGAAGGGGCCUGCUGAGAGGCCGCCCAAGGCCCAAGGGCCGAAGUCGAAGGCGCAGGGGCCGAAGCCGAAACCAAAGCCGAUGAGUGUCAAGUGCACUGAGAGCCGCAAGGAGAACCCCUACCGCUGCAAUCGGAACAUGGACUGCCCCUCCUACUGCCCUCAAUCCUGCUACGCCGAUUGCAACACGUGCAAGCCCGUCUGUGUGUGCAACACCCCAGGUGCGAGCGGCGAUCCGCGGUUCAUCGGCGGUGACGACAACACCUUCUACUUCCAUGGCCAUAGGGAUGCCGACUUCUGCGUCGUCUCCGACCGUGACCUCCACAUCAACGCACACUUCAUCGGCAAGAGUGGCCACAGCGGCAUGUCUCGGGACUUCACCUGGAUCCAGGCCAUCGCCGUGCUUUUCAACUAUGGCCACCGCCUUUACAUCGGUGUCAGGAAGACCGGCACCUGGGAUGAUGUCAUCGAGCACCUGGAGAUCACCUUGGACGGCGAGCCCGUGCACCUACCCGGCCACGACACUGGCAAGUGGACGUCCAGCCGCGUCCCCCAGCUGACAGUCACCCGCACCAAGGCGACCAACGGCGUGCUUGUCGCCCUCGACAGGAAGUUCAGCGUCAGGGCCAACACCGUGCCCAUCACCACGGAGGACUCGAGGGUGCAUUGCUACGGCGUCACCGCCAAUGACUUGCUCGCGCACCUCGAGCUGGUCUCCAAGUUCAACGCGCUCACGGAGGACGUCCACGGCGUGGUCGGGCAGACCUACCGCUCCGACUACGUGAACCGAUUUGACGUAUGGAAAUGCCGGUGGAAAUGUCCAUGGCGCCAACGUGGUAUCGGAGCUCACUGCCGUCACCUGCAGCGGCGGCAUGCAUGGACGGCCAAGGCGUGGUGUGCAAGAAGUAAAAAUGUAUGCCUGCAUGCAUCGCAUGGUUGCCAAGUACACAGAAAUAAGCAAAGGACAUCCAUUGACACACAUCUGAGGAACAUGCAACUUUAUUACUCCUAUAUAGUAUUCCCGCCGUUCCUAAAUACUCCUAAAAGUCUUUUUAGACAUUUCAAAUGA